rnacentral:piRNA from 1 species
UGAGCAAAGGUAGUCCUACCAUGGUUCAAGU